rnacentral:rRNA from 1 species
GAUGAACGUUGGCGGUGCGCUUUAUGCAUGCAAGUCGUACGGAACCAUGGUUUUCGGAUUAUGGUUCAGUGGCGGACGGCUGAGUAACACGUAGGUAACUUGCCCGCGAGCGGGGGAUAACUUACCGAAAGGUAAGCUAAUACCGCAUGGCAUGGGUUUGCGCAAGCAGGCUCAUUAAAGCCGUAAGGCACUCGCGGAUAGGCCUGCGGCCGAUUAGCUUGUUGGUGGGGUAACGGCCUACCAAGGCUACGAUCGGUAGCUGGUCUGAGAGGAUGUCCAGCCAGAUGGGGACUGAGACACGGCCCCAACUCCUACGGGAGGCAGCAGCAAGGAAUAUUGGGCAAUGGGCGAAAGCCUGACCCAGCGACACCGCGUGGGGGACGAAGGUUCUCGGAUCGUAAACCCCUUUUCCCAGGGAAGAUAAUGACGGUACC